rnacentral:rRNA from 1 species
GAUGAACGCUGGCGGCGUGCCUAAUACAUGCAAGUCGAGCGAACAGAUGAGGAGCUUGCUCCUCUGACGUUAGCGGCGGACGGGUGAGUAACACGUGGAUAACCUACCUGUAAGACUGGGAUAACUUCGGGAAACCGGAGCUAAUACCGGAUAAUAUAUUGAACCGCAUGGUUCAAUAGUGAAAGACGGUUUUGCUGUCACUUAUAGAUGGAUCCGCGCCGCAUUAGCUAGUUGGUAAGGUAACGGCUUACCAAGGCAACGAUGCGUAGCCGACCUGAGAGGGUGAUCGGCCACACUGGAACUGAGACACGGUCCAGACUCCUACGGGAGGCAGCAGUAGGGAAUCUUCCGCAAUGGGCGAAAGCCUGACGGAGCGACGCCGCGUGAGUGAUGAAGGUCUUCGGAUCGUAAAACUCUGUUAUUAGGGAAGAACAAAUGUGUAAGUAACUAUGCACGUCUUGACGGUACCUAAUCAGAAAGCCACGGCUAACUACGUG